rnacentral:tRNA from 1 species
ACCAGUGUGGUGUAGUGGUUAGUGUGUCAGGCUAGGACCUGGGAGACCAGGGUUCAAAUCCCUACUCAGCCAUGGAA